GUAGUCACAGUUACAUUUUUUUUUUUAAAUUCAAGACAUAUAAAAGCAUCACAGUAGCCAAGAGGACAAAAUUCAUUACAAACGUAAGAAAGAUGAAAAUCUGCAAGGCCUUUUAGUUCUGUCUGAGAAGUUUAUUUCUAAUGAAAGUCUAAAACGCUGACUUAAAACCCAGGAUUAAUGUACCCCAGUGCAAGCUUCCUCAAUUAGUUAUUAUAGCACAAUCCUGACAUGUAACAAUGUUACUCCUCCUGUACUGUGUCUAAAAAGAAACAAGUGACAAUUGAGUCACAUGCUGUGGCAAUUUGGGAGAAUGCACAAACACCUAUGAAACAAUCCAACUCAUUUUCCUUUGUGACCAAAACAUGAUUUUUAAAUUUCCAGUUCUCAGUUAAAAAUAUAUGUUUAACAUAAAUAACUAUGGUUAUUACUAAAUUUGGCAUAUUUCUCCAAAAUCAGAAGACCUGUUUAUUCUCUUACUUCAUCCUGACACACCAAUAUUUUAUCUUUACUUUCACAGUCUAGCCAGUAGGUUACCUGAGGAGUAUCAGGACUUGUAGUAUUCCAUUGAACCUGUACCGCUAUCAGCAUGCCUCCCUGGCGAGGUAACAUUUAUACUUUUUGGGGGGUGGGGGAGGCUGCUGCUGCUGCCCCCGCCAGCUCAGCUUUUCUGGCUGAGCUACAGCUGUUGCUAGAGGCCAACUGGUAGCCUCAGCUGCUAGGACUGGACUACGGUUCCAGCUGCCCCCAACAGAGGCUGCUGCAGGGCUUGCUAGCUCCUACAAAGAGGCUGCUCCCUGCCUGUGAAUGGUGUGGCCCAUGUGGGCCGGUGGAGCAGCAGCUGCCUGCACCUUUCAUUUUCUCACACAAGAGAAGGGGAGACAAAGGUGAAUUAAGUGUAGAGCUGAAGGGCAGGGACCCACGAGAAUGUGCCUCCCUCCUGUCCAGACAAUUGCAGGGUGUACUGGACCAUGGACAGGGAAGAUGUGUAGAGAAGGGUCUUUCAAUUACUGAGUAGUGAAAGGAAAGACAGUUCCCACAUACUGUGUAUUUGUUGUACUUUUCAGCUCAAUCACAGCCCUUCUACUUUACCACUUGUAUUCUUGGAAUGUAUAGGAUUUUCAGUUGUUUGUGUUCUCUUAACCUAGGGGAAGGCACAACUACACCUCUACCUCAUUAUAACGCUGUCCUCGGGAGCCAAAAAAAGAAAAUCUUACCAUGUUAUAGGUGAAACCACGUUAUAUCGAACUUGCUUUGAUCCGCCGGAGCACGCAGCCCUGUCCCCCCGAAGCGCUGCUUUACCGCGUUAUAUCCAAAUUCGUGUUAUAUCAGGGCAGAGGUGUAUUUUUUCCUUAGCUUAGGGAGGAUCACUAUGUCAAAGUUUGAGAACCCUUCUCUUGCUUUUACUGGAAACAAUGAGGUCUUUGUCUAUUCAGGACAAAGGAGUUUGUGCCUGCCUCCACUCUAGUUGAUAUACACAAGAGAGACCUCACAACUGUUACAAAAUAGCUCAGUGAGGAAACAAUCUUCUAAGCAAUGUUGUCUGAAGUACUUUAUGUAAUGCCUGUAUCUGGAUAGAGACACAGUGAAGUUUUCUACCUAAGAUAUCAGGCAGUAGAUUCCUGAAGAACAGAGAGAAAAUCCCCUGUAUAAACGGCUAAUGGGAAUGGAAGAUAAUUUAAAAAACAAAAAACAAAAACAAAAAAAAACCAGUUUUGAAAACAAAUAUACUUUUGAAAAGUACUAGAGUUCAGGAUUCCUUGAUCUGAUGCAGUAAUGCAAAAUAUAUAUUAGUAGGACAGGAGUUCCAGAUGUCUGUGGUACCAAGAGACUCAGGAUAAAGUGGUUGUUUUGUUUGUUUGUUUGUUUUAACUGCAGCUCAGGUUCAUGGGGAUUAAAACUCUGAUUGCAGUAAAGGCAACUAAAAUUAUCUGACAAUUUACACUUUAAGAUCUGUGAAGUGAAUGUAUUAUUCAAACAAAGACAUUUUCAUAUUUGAUUGUGAGUAAUGGACACUGAGUACAAGCAUGUUUAAACUGAACAGCUAUUGGGAAUCCUAAUUUUUGUGAACAUAGCUUGGGCAGAGUAUGAACAAGUCUACUUGACACCUAUUUUCCAGGACAAUCUUGAAUGUGUUCAUCUAGGGGGAAGAACCAUCAGCACAAAGAACAGGGUUUGUUAUAGGUCCCUUCCAACCCUGCUAUUCUAUGACUAAGUCAAAAGCAACAUUACUUUUAAUCUCCAUGCCAUACUAGCAGCUGCUAGAGAUACUUAGAAGUCUUAAUUUGUACUUUCAACCCUUCAGGUUUGACCACGGUGUGAGAAGAUUAAUGGAGAGUCCUGUGGUGGUCUCCUCAAUAGAAGCAAGAAAACAAGAAUAUAUAUGUUGUCAAAGCUAAAAAUAAUCCAGAACAAGCAGAAGCUAGAUGGAUUCAGGAACAACUUUCCAGAGUUCACACCAGUGACUAAAUCCACACUUUUGAAGCCAUCUGGUCUUGCCCCAUCACAGAGCGUAGAUGCCCAAUGAACAUAAUGAGACCCUGGAAUCUGCAACAGCUUGUCAGUAUCCUCCAUGAACAACUUCAGUCCAUCAAACAGGAAAUCCUUUACCAUAUUCAGGACUUCUCUGGGGAAACCAGACAACUAUAGCCAAGAUGCCCUGUGCAUUACCACUGCCGUGGAAAUGGAGCAGCCUACAGUGUCUGCAUCAUCCAGAGCUGCCUGAAAAGAUGUCCUCGCCAGUACCUGUCCCUCAGCAAUGGUAGCCUGACAUUAUUCCCUUUGGUCUGGAGGAAAGUGUUGAAUGAAAAAUGAAUUUUGCAUAAUUUUUGAAGUUAUAUUUGACCAUUUCCUGUAAUUCAUAAUGUGGAAUUUUAUGGUUGUAGAUGAAUAAGAUUUCCUUCCUAAAAGGUCCAGGCACUUCUGGUCUGUCAUACGGUGGGGGUGGGGCACUUAUACCAUUUGUUCACUGGU